AGAGGGUGGAGACUGAGGGUCCCACUACACAAAAAAGGACCACAAAGACACACAAGCCAACACAAAAAGGUAUUAUCAUCUGAAAAAGGUGCAAAUCAACCUCAAAGUGAGGAUUUUCACACGCGGAUCAAAAAGCAGAGUUCAGUCCAGAGUCUGGGUUUAAAUAUUUCUAUUUGACGGAUUUCAGAAACAGCAGAACAAUAAGAAAAAAGACAAACAAAAACAUUUCAGUCUGUGUCGCACUAAAACGAGACACACGGGUGAGUUAAUCUACAGGUGAGUUAGUCUGCAGGUGAGUUAGUCUGCAGGUGAGUUAGUCUGCAGGUGAGUCAGUCUACAGGUGAGUCAGUCUACAGGUGAGUUAGUCUACAGGUGAGUUAAUCUACAGGUGAGUUAGUCUGCAGGUGAGUCAGUCUACAGGUGAGUCAGUCUACAGGUGAGUUAGUCUACAGGUGAGUUAAUCUACAGGUGAGUUAGUCUGCAGGUGAGUCAGUCUACAGGUGAGUCAGUCUACAGGUGAGUCAGUCUACAGGUGAGUUAGUCUACAGGUGAGUUAAUCUACAGGUGAGUUAGUCUGCAGGUGAGUCAGUCUACAGGUGAGUCAGUCUACAGGUGAGUUAGUCUACAGGUGAGUUAAUCUACAGGUGAGUUAGUCUGCAGGUGAGUCAGGGUUUGAUGAGAGACACAGGAAGUUAAUUAAUGUGACAGAACUCCACAUACUGACACAAAAACAUGUGAAAGACUAAAUGAAAUCACAGAAAGCAGUUUAUUUUAAGCAUUUGAAAACUUUAUCAGGUACAGCUGUGAACUGAAACACAUCAGAUUACUGUGAUCAAAAGGAGACUGAUUGUGUUUUAUGUUUGAUGGACUGAAUGACUGUACAGCUGAUUCAUAUCUACACAUUUAUGUCCAUCAUAAAAACAGACAGAAAGCUUUUGUGUCUGUUCCCAGGACUGAACUGGGCUGUUUAAGGUCACUGCUUCUCUUUGGAAUCAGUUGA